UACCCUUCCCCCUCCCCGUGUCCUCAAGUCCAUUCUCUAUGAAGGACACUAGUGAUUUAAAAAAAAAACAGUAGCCAUCUGGCACAAAUGUUACCAAAGCAAAGAUGCAUAUAGGGUGGUCCAUACACAGAGGCAGAAGAGGCAAGGGCCUCAAGGGAAUAUAUUUGUUAUCAUAACCCAACAGUUAUGUAGGCACUGUUCUAAAAGUUUUACAUCUAUUAACUCAUUUCAUCCUCAAAAUAAUUUUAAGAAAUAGAUACUAUUAUUAUCCCAUUUAAUAGAUGAAGAAACUGAGACACAGAAAGAUUACAUAAUUUGCCUAAGAUCACUCAGUUAUCAAGAGGCAGAGCUAGAAGUCAGUCCUUUUCUUAACCACUUUUCUAUAUUCCCUUCCCUUUGAUAUCUGAAAUCACCAUUAGAGUCAUUGUGUUUAUUCACUAUAACAAUCAACAAGUUCUGUUCUACGCAUUCGCAAAUACUGCUUAUCUCAUUUAACGUUUACAAUAGCUAUCCUUAUUUUACAGAGAGGAAGCUGAGAAUCAGAGAGAUUAAUUCACUUGUUCAAGGUCAAAUGGCUAGUAAGUGGCAGAGCUUCGAUUUGAAACAAGUUCUGGCUGAAGAGCCCAUACUGCCUUCCCCAAAGUGGUGACAGAAUUAUGGAAAUGUGACACCAAGAGAGCUGUGGUCAAGAGCACACACUCUGGAGCCAGAAUGCCUGAGUUUGAAUCUCUACCACCCACGAGCUGUUGUGACUGUGAUUUAGACCCAUGGUAUUUUCAUCUAGAACAUGAAGAUUAUUGUAGUACCUAUCUCAUAGAGCCGUCAUGAAGAUUACCUGUGUUACUAUAAGAAAACACUUAGAAGAAUGCCUGUCACAUGGAGAGUGCUUCAUUAGAAGGAUAGUACAUGAAACCCACCACGGUUUUCUUUGGUACCUGGAUAGUUAACACUGGACCUUACGUUUCAAGUGGUUCCUGGAAGGAGGCCUGUGGGGAAAAACUUAAAAGACCUCCACAAGCCUUGACCACAGCCAACUCUGGAUUUUAAGGUCACAGAGCACUCUUGGCAAAAGAUGAGAUGAAGGAGGUUCAAAGGGUUGAGAGUCCUUUAUGCUCCAUUCUAUUUCAGUG